UGCCCAACAACCAAUAGGUGACAUCUGGGAAGACUGUGACCCCAUAGUGCUCAGCCUAUGAGGAACUGGGGGAGGGACCUGCACACUAAGGGAUAAAGUGCUUGUUAAAACCAUGCUGGAGGCUGGUGCAGUGGCUCACGCCUGUAAUCCCAGCACUUUAGGAGGCCGACGUGAGGCAGGCGGAUCACUUGGGGUCAGGAGUUUGACACCAGCCUGGCCAACCUGGUAAAACCCCAUCUCUAUUGAAAACACGAAAAUUAGCCAGGCGUGGUGGUGAGUGCCUGUGAUCCCAGCUACUCAGGAGGCUGAGGCAGGAGGAUCACUUGGACUCGGGAGGCAGAGUUACAGUGAGCCGAGAUCCUGCCACCGCACUCCAGCCUGGGCGACAGAGAAAGACCCCAUCUCAAAACAACAGCAACAACAACAAAACCGGGCUGGGCGUGCCUUCCCAUCGGACACCCGACCUCGCAAGACUGUCAUUAAAAGUCUCACUCUCGCUGUUCUCUGGGUUGUGAGUCCAUUCUCUGGGUGUGGACAGGUGAGUUUGUUUCUCACAAGGUCCAGGACUUGAACUCAGGCCAUGAGACCGGGCCAGGGUUGUGAGCAAAAGUGCAGCUCGUUGCGGUGCCUCCCUCGGCACCAGUGGGAGGGGAGAGGACCCUGGGGCUCGUCAGCCUGGACACGCCAGCGCUCUCAGCCGUCUCACUCAGUCCCACGAGCCCACACAGUGGCUGCCCUCAAAGGGACUUUGGAGACCACCCAGUCUUUCUUCCCAGUUUACAGACCCAGAGACUCGGGCCCAGAGAAGACAAGUGACUUUGAACAAAGCAAAUUAGUGGCAAUGCCCAGACUUGAACCGAGAUUGGCAGAGCUUGGUGGUCUGCCACAAACCACCCUCCCCCACAGCAGGUGCGGGUGGGGGGCUCCGUUCUUCCGGUCACCACAGCAUGUUACAGGUUUCUGCAUCAGUGCGCCUCCUCUUAGGAAGAAACAUCUCUGGGCUGGGAUGGCUAGCUCCCCGCUUUCAGCCAUGUAGAAUUUCUCUUGGCAUUUUAGUUAGAAGUGUUGUCUAGAUUUCUUAAGUGUCUGAGGCUGCCCUGGCCACAGGGAUGAGUUAGGGAAAAUUACCGUUUCCCAUGUGCGUGUGUGAAGCUCUCCAUGCUCACUGAAGUCAGAGUGAGAAGCAGCAAACACGUCAUCGGGAGGGUGGCCAGCAAGGCUGUGUCCUUUCACACGUCCUCAGAUCAUCCUUGAAUCCACCCACAUUCCAAAUUCAUUCUCAAAAAUGAGAUUCCAAAUUUCAGGAUCUAUUUACAGCCAGACGAUUUUGGUGCCCCCUGCUCAAAAGCUUUGAUUACUCCUGUGCUUAAUUAAGUCACAAAUCCCUGGCCCAUCAUCCAAGACCACUUGUGAUGUGGUUAAACCUACCUCUGUGAGUGCUAGUAAAUCUACCUCUACUAGUACUAGUAAAUCUACCUCUGCUAGCGCUAGUAAAUUUACCUCUACCAGUACUGCCCCCCACUGUUUCCUUUUCAGGCAUUCAGCUCAGUCUACGGCCCGCAGACAGAUUUCCUAGAAAUAACUGCUCCUACUUCUCAACUCUUAACAAAAAGGUCUCUGAAAAGGAAUUUGGAGGAAACAGACUAUUCCAGUGAAUAGUGUACAAGCCUGGGAGAUGCGGACUUUGGUGUAAAAUGAAGAAGCAGGAGCACCGUUCCUGGAAGACCGUGGCAGGUGUGGUCUGGGCUGCGUGGCCCCGGAGCCUGCUGUCUGAGCCUCUUCUCAUGGAGUGGGGGUGGUUUCUCUGGCACCUACAUGGGUUAAGAGGGAGGACCCCUGGGGCCUUGCGCCCAUCACCCCCUCUCAUCCUCACUGCCUGUGACGGACAGACAAGCAGCUCUCCCAGCUGCAGAGACAAGAUGACCACAGGAGAGCCAGCAGAGGAUGCUGUUACCAGGGAGCUAGGACAGCCAGCACACAGGCAGACGGAGGCACGCAGCCUGAGUCCCAGUCAGCUGGAGGACAUGUGAUUAAAAUGCUGCUGAAUAGGGAAAAAAUCCCGGGCCCAGAAGUUGAGGUCCCUGUGGGUGGGGCCGUGGGGAGGGGGUGCGACCCAGGCCAUGCCCAGGCUUGUGAUUUCUGACCUCGCGCUAGUGCAUUUACGGGUAAACUGAGGCUGGGAGGGAAGCCUCUCUCUGUAUGGGGAGGUGGUCCUCUGUCCGUGUCCGUGGUGAGGGGCUGUGCCCACCCGCUGCCUAGAGAGGAGCACCGGUGCUUUUGUAAAGAGCAGUAUAAAUACACUUCCGUUCAGAUAAAACACAAUAAAUAGGUGGCGGCAAUGGCGGGACGGCACCACACCUGCUCAGGCGGCCGGACGCACACUGCAGGAGUGGCUGGCGAGAGGCCAGCCGCAGGGACAUGAACCGAGGUCCUGUUGUUUGAGGUAAAAAUGUAUAGAAACGGUUCCUUGACAGCGAAAUCCCCGCUUGACACUCAGAUGGGCGAGCACUGGCAGGGGCUCUGGGCCUCUGCCUGCAAGACCAGACCGUCACUGGGGCUGUGGCUCAGAAGGACUCAGAGGUGGAUGGAUGUCCCUGCCCGAACCAGGGCCGCAGAUGGCCCCACCUGCACCCUGCCUGAUGCCCAGGCCCGGGAUGCCCUAGGCUGGGCCCACCUGGACGUCCAGGGUCAGUUGGGGGAGGUGCUGGGGUCCCGCCCCACCUGGCCACCCCAGUUGCUGCCGGGCAGCCGCGGCCUCAGCGUGUCCUCAGCCGCAGGACCCUGGAGAGGGGCUCCUUGGCGCUGGAGUAGAUGAGGUAGGCACCAGCCGUGGUGCUGAAGGCCUCCCAGUCCCUGCAGCCGACGGUGGGGAGGCUGUGCACCGCCACGAAGCCCUCGUAGCCCUGCCACCUGCGGAACAGACAGCGGCAGCCGGGUCAGCCUGGGCUCUGCGGGGCAGCUCCUCUCCCCCGGCUCCCACCCGCGCUGUCAGGGACCCAGCAGCUCUGGGUCACAUCUGAGCCUCUUCCAUCCCCCCGACUGGCACAGCGUGGGGAGAUCGAUUCUGGGCCAUGAGGGCCUUCUCAUCUUGCAAAGCAGGAGGCUGAGGCCCAGAAGAGGAAAGAUUCCAGAUCUCACCAAGAUCCCAGCGCUACCUCCUAUCCACCCAAGAUCCUAACCCCGGGGACCCCCAAACGUGCAGUUCCGAGGGUCGGCCUCAAUCGUGAGGUGCGUGACUUUCCCCAGGGCCCCCCUCAAACACACGCAGGCCACCACGCAGGCUGGAACCCCUCCGUCCUCAGAUACAGGAGCCCAGCUCUCUGCCCGCUGCUCUGCGGCCCCACGUCAGGGGCUGCCCCAGGCCCUCAUUCUUGCUCUGGGCGGCUGCUGGCCGCCAGGGUUUGCCUUCAAAAGGACUCAUUUAUCCCAGGAGCUUCCAUUUCCGAGGCGUGGAGUCCCCAAGGCAGGGCGCCGACAUCAAAG
rnacentral:lncRNA from 1 species